AGGGAGCGUAGGUGGAUUGUUAGUCAGUUGUGAAAGUUUGCGGCUCAACCGUAAAAUUGCAGUUGAAACUGGCAGUCUUGAGUACAGUAGAGGUGGGCGGAAUUCGUGGUGUAGCGGUGAAAUGCUUAGAUAUCACGAAGAACUCCGAUUGCGAAGGCAGCUCACUAGACUGUCACUGACACUGAUGCUCGAAAGUGUGGGUAUCAAACAG
rnacentral:rRNA from 1 species